AUGGAAACACCUAUUUUCUUUUACAUAUUCUUAAAGCUGGUGCCAAGACGUUUCCGAAACACUGGUUACAAACCCUUUUUGCUUGAGAUCUUCCUGAGUUACGAACCUUUAAAGUUUAAGUAUCGCCGGCGCGUUAUCUAAGGUAUGCGCGCGCGCGC